rnacentral:lncRNA from 1 species
GGCAUCUCUGGGGCAGAGGGUGGCUGGGCCUUGCGCCCUCUGCAGCUCCUCCGGAGGCCGCCCACACGCAGGCAGGCUCCACUGCACCAACAGGAGCGGUCCCAGCCUGGGCCCUGCCUCACGGGGUGGGGCACUCCCUCAACACCCCAUGCCAGCGCCCCGCCCAGCCCAGCUGAGUGCCCUGACCAGCCCACUGCCCUGUGCAGCCGGCAGUGUGGACACCCUCGCUGAUUCAUGAAGAUGUGUGUGAGGGCCCCUCCGGGGCCACCCUGUCACAGCACCAUGUGACAGUGGGUCCCUGUCAUGACUGUCUUCUGUUGACUUCCUGAAGGGGACCCAGGUCUGCUCCAUCAGGGCAGCGGGGGCCCUGGAGCUCUGCUGGGCACUUGGAGAAGCAGGUAGAACAGUGAGGCGAGCACCAGACCCCUGACGAGCUUCCCGGGGCCAGGCACGGUCUUAGGUGGAGAGUGCCGGCUCACAGGUGGUGGUCACUGUCCAUCUGUUCUGCAGAACAGAACACUCAAC